GUGCGGCCAGAAGGAUACCCGGACUUUUAAUCAGGGUGUCGUGGGUUCGAAUCCCACACGGCUCACCA
rnacentral:tRNA from 1 species